GAUGAAGAACGUAGCGAAAUGCGAUAAGUAAUGUGAAUUGCAGAAUCCAGUGAAUCAUCGAAUCUUUGAACGCACAUUGCGCCCGCCAGCAUUCUGGCGGGCAUGCCUGUUCGAGCGUCAUUUCAACCCUCGACCUCCCUUUGGGGAAGUCGGCGUUGGGGACCGGCAGCACACCGCCGGCCCUGAAAUGGAGUGGCGGCCCGUCCGCGGCGACCUCUGCGUAGUAAUCCACCUCGCACCGGAACCCCGACGCGGCCACGCCGUAAAACACCCAACUUCUGAACGUUGACCUCGAAUCAGGUAGGACUACCCGCUGAACUUAAGCAUAUCAAUAAGCGGAGGA
rnacentral:misc_RNA from 1 species